UAGUGUAGUUAAUAGCUGCAUUAUUGACGUUAGCGACAGAAGAAGCACCGGCUAACUCCGUGCCAGCAGCGCGGUAAUACGGAGGGUGCGAGCGUUAAUCGGAAUUACUGGGCGUAAAGCGCAUGCAGGUGGUUUGUUAAGUCAGAUGUGAAAGCCCGGGGCUCAACCUCGGAAUUGCAUUUGAAACUGGCAGACUAGAGUACUGUAGAGGGGGGUAGAAUUUCAGGUGUAGCGGUGAAAUGCGUAGAGAUCUGAAGGAAUACCGGUGGCGAAGGCGGCCCCCUGGACAGAUACUGACACUCAGAUGCGAAAGCGUGGGGAGCAAACAGGAUUAGAUACCCUGGUAGUCCACGCCGUAAACGAUGUCUACUUGGAGGUUGUGGCCUUGAGCCGUGGCUUUCGGAGCUAACGCGUUAAGUAGACCGCCUGGGGAGUACGGUCGCAAGAUUAAAACUCAAAUGAAUUGACGGGGGCCCGCACAAGCGGUGGAGCAUGUGGUUUAAUUCGAUGCAACGCGAAGAACCUUACCUACUCUUGACAUCCAGAGAACUUUCCAGAGAUGGAUUGGUGCCUUCGGGAACUCUGAGACAGGUGCUGCAUGGCUGUCGUCAGCUCGUGUUGUGAAAUGUUGGGUUAAGUCCCGCAACGAGCGCAACCCUUAUCCUUGUUUGCCAGCGAGUAAUGUCGGGAACUCCAGGGAGACUGCCGGUGAUAAACCGGAGGAAGGUGGGGACGACGUCAAGUCAUCAUGGCCCUUACGAGUAGGGCUACACACGUGCUACAAUGGCGCAUACAGAGGGCGGCCAACUUGCGAGAGUGAGCGAAUCCCAAAAAGUGCGUCGUAGUCCGGAUUGGAGUCUGCAACUCGACUCCAUGAAGUCGGAAUCGCUAGUAAUCGUGGAUCAGAAUGCCACGGUGAAUACGUUCCCGGGCCUUGUACACACCGCCCGUCACACCAUGGGAGUGGGCUGCAAAAGAAGUAGGUAGUUUAACCUUCGGGAGGACGCUACCACCUUUUUGUUCCGGUGC
rnacentral:rRNA from 1 species